UUGAAUGUAAUGACUAUGACAGUGAUGGAUCACAUGACCUCAUCGGAAUCUUCCAGACCACCAUGUCUAAGCUAAAGGAAGCAAGUCGUUCAAUGCCAGUGGAAUUUGACUGCAUAAAUGAAAAGAAGAGACAGAAGAAGAAAAAUUACAGGAAUUCUGGGGUCGUGAGUGUGAAACAUUGCCAAAUCACAAGGGAAUACACUUUUCUGGAUUAUAUAAUG